rnacentral:rRNA from 1 species
AAAGCCGGAUUAAUACCGCAUACGAUCUAUGGAUGAAAGCGGGGGAUCGCAAGACCUCGCGCUAUUGGGGUGGCCGAUGGCGGAUUAGCUAGUUGGUGGGGUAAAGGCCUACCAAGGCGACGAUCCGUAGCUGGUCUGAGAGGACGACCAGCCACACUGGGACUGAGACACGGCCCAUACUCCUACGGGAGGCAGCAGUGGGGAAUUUUGGACAAUGGGCGCAAGCCUGAUCCAGCAAUGCCGCGUGUGUGAAGAAGGCCUUCGGGUUGUAAAGCACUUUUGUCCGGAAAGAAAUCCUCUGGGUUAAUACCCCGGGGGGAUGACGGUACCGGAAGAAUAAGCACCGGCUAACUACGUGCCAGCAGCCGCGGUAAUACGUAGGGUGCGAGCGUUAAUCGGAAUUACUGGGCGUAAAGCGUGCGCAGGCGGUGAUGU